rnacentral:rRNA from 1 species
UACGUAGGGGGCAAGCGUUGUCCGGAUUUAUUGGGCGUAAAGAGCGUGUAGGCGGUUUGGUAGGUCCGUUGUGAAAACUCGAGGCUCAACCUCGAGACGCCGGCGGAAACCAUCAGGCUAGAGCCGGAAGAGGAGAGUGGAAUUCCUGGUGUAGCGGUGAAAUGCGCAGAUAUCAGGAAGAACACCGGUGGCGAAGGCGGCUCCUGGACUAAGUGGUA